rnacentral:rRNA from 1 species
AUUGAACGCUGGCGGCAGGCUUAACACAUGCAAGUCGAGCGGGGGAAGGUAGCUUGCUACCGGACCUAGCGGCGGACGGGUGAGUAAUGCUUAGGAAUCUGCCUAUUAGUGGGGGACAACAUCUCGAAAGGGAUGCUAAUACCGCCUACGUCCUACGGGAGAAAGCAGGGGAUCUUCGGACCUUGCGCUAAUAGAUGAGCCUAAGUCGGAUUAGCUAGUUGGUGGGGUAAAGGCCUACCAAGGCGACGAUCUGUAGCGGGUCUGAGAGGAUGAUCCGCCACACUGGGACUGAGACACGGCCCAGACUCCUACGGGAGGCGGCAGUGGGGAUUAUUGGACAAUGGGGGGAACCCUGAUCCAGCCAUGCCGCGUGUGUGAAGAAGGCCUUAUGGUUGUAAAGCACUUUAAGCGAGGAGGAGGCUACUCUAGUUAAUACCUAGGGAUAGUGGACGUUACUCGCAGAAUAAGCACCGGCUAACUCUGUGCCAGCCGCCGCUGUAA